rnacentral:pre_miRNA from 1 species
AGGAACCACCGCAGUGGCGGGGCCAGCUCUGCAGCCCUGGAGUCAGCCCCCGCAGUAGCUCCAGAGCUCUCCGUCUGCAGGGCCUGGAGGCUCCGGGGCGGG